rnacentral:rRNA from 1 species
AUUGAACGCUGGCGGCAGGCCUAACACAUGCAAGUCGAGCGGAUGAGAGGAGCUUGCUCUUCGAUUCAGCGGCGGACGGGUGAGUAAUGCCUAGGAAUCUGCCUAGUAGGGGGGGACAACGUUUCGAAAGGAACGCUAAUACCGCAUACGUCCUACGGGAGAAAGUGGGGGAUCUUCGGACCUCACGCUAUUAGAUGAGCCUAGGUCGGAUUAGCUAGUUGUUAGGGUAAAGGCCUACCAAGGCGAAGAUCCGUAACUGGUCUGAGAGGAUGGACAGUAACACUGGAAUUGAGACACGGUCCAGACUCCUACGGGAGGCAGCAGUGGGGAAUAUUGGACAAUGGGCGAAAGCCUGAUCCAGCCAUGCCGCGUGUGUGAAGAAUGCCUUCGGGUCGUAAAGCACUUUAAGUUGGGAGGAAGGGCUCAUAGCGAAUACCUGUGAGUUUUGACGUUACCAACAGAAUAAGCACCGGCUAACUUCGUGCCAGCCGCCGCGGUAA